CCUACGGGAGGCAGCAGUGGGGAAUAUUGGGCAAUGGGCGCAAGCCUGACCCAGCAACGCCGCGUGAAGGAAGAAGGCUUUCGGGUUGUAAACUUCUUUUAAGAGGGAAGAGCAGAAGACGGUACCUCUUGAAUAAGCCACGGCUAACUACGUGCCAGCAGCCGCGGUAAUACGGAGGAUCCGAGCGUUAUCCGGAUUUACUGGGUGUAAAGGGGGCGCAGACGGCGAUGCAAGCCAGGAGUGAAAGCCCGGGGCCCAACCCCGGGACUGCUCUUGGAACUGCGUGGCUGGAGUGCAGGAGGGGCAGGCGGAAUUCCUGGUGUAGCGGUGAAAUGCGUAGAUAUCAGGAGGAACACCGGUGGCGAAGGCGGCCUGCUGGACUGCAACUGACGUUGAGGCCCGAAAGCGUGGGGAGCAAACAGGAUUAGAUACCCUAGUAGUC
rnacentral:rRNA from 1 species